rnacentral:rRNA from 1 species
AUGUGCCAACGAUUCGAUGAGGAUGGAGGCCAUCUAUUUUUUAAAUGCAAGCUAGUAAGGAAAGUGUGGAGUCUGAUGGGAUUAGAAAACAUCCGACAGCAAUGUAUGAACCUAACUGAUCCAAAGCAGAUUACUUUUUACUUGCUAAGUGCCGACCUUGAAGCCAAAACCAAAUGCAUUAGUCUGCUUUGGAACUGGUGGGAGUGUAGGAACAAGGUGAAUUUUGAGGGAAAAAGUUUUGCUGUUGUUUUUCAGGCUGUUUCUGAUGCAAAGGAGUAUUUAGAGUUCUUUGCACAGCGCAAAGAUUCAAAUCCGAAAAAGGUGCAAAGGUGGAAGCCCCCGCCACAAGAUAUUCUAAAGAUUAACGUUGAUGGAAGUUUCCAUAGUGACAAGAAGUGUGGUGGCUGGGGGUUUGUGAUCCGAGACCACAUGGGAGAUGUGAUUGGUGCAGGUGCUGGAAGGGUGGAG